rnacentral:rRNA from 1 species
GACGAACGCUGGCGGCGUGCUUAACACAUGCAAGUCGAACGAAGUGGCGAACGGGUGAGUAAUACGUGGGUAACCUGCCCUCCUUUUUGGGAUAAGCCUUGGAAACGGGGUCUAAUACCGAAUAAAGGGGGAUGGGCUCGGGUCCUAUUAGCUUGUUGGUGGGGUGAUGGCCUACCAAGGCGGUGACGGGUAGCCGGCCUGAGAGGGUGAACGGCCACAUUGGGACUGAGAAGCGGCCCAGAGUACUAAGGGGGGGAGCAGUGGGGGAUAUGGGAGAAUGGGUGAAAGCGUGAUGCAGCGACGCCGCGUGGGGGAUGAAGGCUUUAGGGUUGUGAACCUCUGGCGCUAUAGAACGGGUAGGUGGAGAAGAAGCGCCGGCUAACUACGUGCCAGCAGCCGCGGUAAUAC